ACCAUUAUGGAAAGAGUCCGCAACAACUACACUCUGCCAUGUCUGUACAGCUGUCCGAAUCCCCACGUUGUCUCAUCAGGAGUUGGACGACCCCGUGUCAUUAUUGGUACAAGCAGCCAGUACUACAUUCUGGCCUCUCGGCUCAGCUGUAAAGUCUGUAAAAAGUACUGGUUUGCAGACAAACCCCAAUGGAUGGACAUGCUGCCGAGUCGGUUCUGCAACAUUUUGCCAGCUUUUCUGACGCACAAGAAGGCCAUAUGUAAGACUGUGAUGGAUGAGUUGCGGCGUACAGGAAAGUCUCCCAAUGAUAUGGCCAAUCAGUUGAAUGAAGCUCUCCACCUCAGGUAUGAGCGUGCACACCUGGCUUACUUGUCUACUGUUAAGAAUGUGCUGGAUGGAGACAGUGGAAUUUACGGUCAGCAGACCAUCACAGGGGCACUAAGAGCAACAAAUACUCCUGCCUCAUUUGGUGAGUAUGGUGAUUUGGUCGGCUGGUGUGGAGUAACAGUUUCACCCCACUAUUUGGUUGACUGCCUCAUUCAGGAGUACCAUAGGCAGGAGAGCACACUCAAUCUGCUCCUCCAAGGCACAUUUGGACAAGCCUUAAGGGCUGACCAUACCCGCAAGGUGGCCCGGAAGGUUGUGCUUGCAUCAGGUACUAUGUCAUCCUAUGCUGUGAUGAAUGAAAACUGGAUGAUCUUGUCCUGGGUGAUGCUGCAGUCUGAAAGUGAUAAAUCCCUGCAGCCAAUGUAUGAGGGGCUGUCUCUUCGUUACAUUUCUGCAGGACUGCCGAAAGCCAACUACCAGUGGGUUGACAGAGAUUGCUGUGCUGCCUUCAGGAUCCCAAACCCUGAGCCCCGGGAGCACCUCCUCUGGGAUUCUUGGAAGACCACUGAGGCUGUAGUGGCUGCGGCAACCUCUGGGCAUCUCAUCAACACCUGUGCCUCCCGCGAAAAAUAUAACAGCGACAUCAAAAUCAAGCUGGACUUGUUCCACUGCAUGCGGCGGUUCUCCAGAGAGUGUGUGUCAGAGCACCAUCCACUGCACAGUGCUUUCUGCAAGUUUCUGUCAGCAGCUUUUAGUGUUGUGGACCAGACGGACCUACAAAGACUGAAGCAGGCUUAUGUCUUCUGUGGGAUAGUGCCUGCAAAUCCAACAAAGCAGCACAUCAGGGAGCACUGCCGCACCAGGGUUCCACACCCCAAAGAGCUACUGGAGAGAGUGGAGAGCGUUCUCCAAAGAUUCUUUUUAGAAUGUGAUCCUGAUGGUGUGCCACUGUUCAAACCAUCGAUGUUGAAGGUGUGGAGGAUUCAGCGAGUCCACAUCCUCAGAGGCUGCCUGAGUGACCCAGAGGUUACAGAUGGGAUCCUCUAUAGGCAUGGUGGAACGGUCCAGCUGAACCAUGUGAAGGGGGAGGCGGCAGCUGUACCUGUGUGGAUCCCUGUGAGAGGCACUUCUCAGCAGGAGGGGUUCCAUUUCCAUCAGGCCAGAUGGGUCACAGGCACUCAGGUAUCCACAGAACUAUUCCAGGCACAGGGCAUGAUUGGAGUGGCUCGUUGGAAUUUCCAGCGCCUUGUAGACCUGAAGCAGCCUGGAGUGAAGCUGCCUGCAGUUUUUGAUCCUGUGCUGAUCAUGGAACUGAACAAGCUCUCAGACAUGGUGACAGGCCAGGCCAAGUACCCUGCCUUACUUGUCUCACAGACAGACACCAGAGAAAGGUUUGGACUGCAGUAUGUGGAGCCUGGUUGUCGUCCUGUCCCCCUAGACUGGGCCAAGCACAAGUCCCAGAAGGUACCUGUUGCAGGGGAGGGAGAGCAUCAGUCCUCAGAGCCGUCUGCUCUCAGUGAGAGAUUCCCACCUGAUGACCCACCUGAGGAGGUGAGGGAAGAACACUUUGCUCAGGAUGACAUCUUUGGUGUGGCUUCUCUUGGCUCACAAACAAUGAUCCAGCCUGUGCAGCCCACCAAAUUAAAAGAUGAGAUGACACCACCACUGCCCUUUGCUCCCUCUCCACGAGCUGCUCGCACAGGUCCCAUCAAGGCAGGCGGUCUACUUUUUGUCCUGGACCAUUUUCGGUGGACAAAGCCCAUGAGGGAUUCCAUUGAUGGCCUUCUGGCAAAGUACCAUGGGCAGAAAGACCUUCUCACCCAGGUGGAUGCAGAGUAUGCUGCCCUUGUGCAGGCUGCCUCCAGGGAUCCCAAUAGCCUCUUACACCCCACCACGAAACAGCAUAUCUCACGUUAUGUGAAACACCUGGCCAAGAUAACGAACAGAAGUUCAUCCCUGAACACCAGUUCAGAGAAGCUCCUGGAGACCCAGAAGCUGUGGCAUCACCUCACAGAAGGUAGUGAAACUGUAAGUGUUCCAGUGGUAACCCUCCCACCUGCCCCAGUGAACCCACCCAGUAAUAAGCCCCAGGAGUUACCACUAACUAAGGGUGAGGUUGAACAAAUGGUGAAAGAGAUUGUGGAGAAACAACAGCAACAGCAGCCUGUUACAAAGAGGACACGGAACUGUCUUGCUUGUGGCCAGCCAAAGUCACGUUACCUUGGUGAUGGGUCCUCCAUUCAUUUUUUUUAUCAGUCUGGGGAUGUGAAGUACUUUUACUGCUCUACAAAGGUACACCAGAUGUAUGCAGCGGAAGGCCUCACCAAUCCUCGAAUGCCAUUUGCUGACUUUGCUGAAACACCUUUUUUUAAACGAGAGCUACAGGCCGCAAAGCAGCGUUCUGCAGAGACAAGACAGGUAAUAGAGGAGCGGAGAAAGAGAAAGUCCAUGGAGCAGCAUCCCACUGGUCGCCUCUGUAGGUUCUGCCACAAGCCACUAAAACAAGGCCCAGAGAGUCCACACAUACACACUGGGUUCCCUGGUGUGGCAGGGAAAUAUGUCUAUUGUCCUGCCAGAGUGUUUUCCUUAUAUCAGACAGAGGGGAUGACUCACGAGAUGAUUUGGGGAGAGUUCUGUCAGUCUUCCUUUUAUGAGACUGAAAGGAAGAGAUGGGCAGCAGAAAAGGGAAAGUGACUGCCCUCAUGUUUCCUGGUUUUAAAUGAAUGUUUAGAUGAAGCAUCCUCUGUCAAGACCCAUCCUCCGCAGAGUAGGUCACCCUAAAGACGGUCUCAGUCCACCAAAACAUCACACCAGACACUUUGACAGCGGAGGAUCAAAGGUCAGAAGGGUUUCUUCCAGAUGCAGAACACCACACCAUCGGCCAUAACUGCGUCCCUCGUUCAGCUCACACUGGACCCCUCAGAACGGCUGGUCUUCGUGUUGGACCAUAGAUGGACAGAUCUGCUGAGAAUUGCCCGUGAAGAUCUCUUGGCAACGCACCAUAGGAGCAAGGAUCUUCUUCAACAGGCCGAAGGCUUGUUUUUUGUUGUUGUUGUUUUUCUAUGUUUUCCACAACUUUAAAUUGUAUUAUUAUUAAUAUUAUUGUAGCUGUUGUUGUUUAGUCUACAAUUUUAAAUUAUUUAAUUUAUUUCCAGUUGUUAAAUAAAACAUCAGAAGUAUUGGCCUUGUUUACACUGUACUUUAGUGUGUUAAUUAAUUGUAUUGACUUUGUAUUGUUAUUUUAUCUUGCUCAGUUUUGUAAACACUAAAUGUUAGUAAUGGCUAAUAUUAAACUCUGUAAAUAAUUAUUUUAUUUAAAAUACUCUACCAGUCAAAUGUUUUUCAGCAGAAAGAUUUGUAAUGUUUUUUGAGGAGUCUCUUCUGCUCACCAAGCAUGCCUUUAUUUGAUCCAAAGUACAGCAAAAAAAAGUAGCAUUUUAAAUAUUCUUACUAUUUUAAAUCAGCUGCUUUAUAUUAGAAUAUAUACAGUAAUCUAUUUCUGUGAUGCUCCGCUGUAUUUUCAGCAUCAUUCCUCCAGUCUUCAGUGUCACAUAAUCUUCAGAAAUCAUGAAAAUAUGAUGAUUUACUGCUCAGAAACAUUUCUGAUUAUUAUUAUUAUUGUUGUUGUUAUGUUAUGUUGAAAACAGCCGAGUACAAUCUUUUCAGGUUUCUUACAUGAAUUGAAAGUUUAA